GGCGAAGCUGAUCAUUAACGCCGCGUGGGUGAAGAAGGCCUGCGGGUUGUAAAGCCCUUUCGGUUGGGAAGAAAAGUAUUGGCCUAACACGUCAGUACCUUGACGUAACCAACAAAAGAAGCACCGGCUAACUCUGUGCCAGCAGCCGCGGUAAUACAGAGGGUGCAAGCGUUAAUCGGAAUUACUGGGCGUAAAGCGCACGUAGGCGGCUUGAUAAGUCGAGUGUGAAAUUCCCGGGCUUAACCUGGGACCUGCAUUCGAAACUGUCUUGCUAGAGUAUGGGAGAGGGAAGUGGAAUUUCAGGUGUAGCGGUGAAAUGCGUAGAUAUCUGAAGGAACAUCAGUGGCGAAAGCGACUUCCUGGACCAAUACUGACGCUCAGGUGCGAAAGCGUGGGGAGCAAACAGGAUUAGAUACCCUGGUAGUCCACGCCAUAAACGAUGAGAACUAGAUGUAGGGAGGAUUAGCCUCUCGGUGUCGUAGCUAACGCGUUAAGUUCUCCGCCUGGGGAGUACGGUCGCACGGUUGAUACUCACAGGAAUUGACGGGGACCCGCACAAGCGGUGGAGCAUGUGGUUUCAUUCGAUGCAACGCGAAGAACUUACCUGGCCUUGAAUCUGUCGAACCUGU
rnacentral:rRNA from 1 species